CGGCGAUGGCAGAUGAUCGCUGGUGAGCCGCGAGGCUCCCUGGAGGAAAGUCCGAACACCACACGGCAGCAUGCCGCGUAGAACACGCGGGCGCCGCGCUCGUAAGCGUGCGGCGACGGAAAGUGUCGCAGAAAAUAUACCGCCGCUCGGCAGCGAUGCCGGCCGGUAAGGUUGAAAAGGCGAGGUAAGAGCUCACCGCGCGCGGAGCAAUCCGCGCGGCAGGAAAAACCCCAUGCGGUGCAAGACAGAACAGAGGGAGGGCAGCCGGUCCGUUGAUCCUCGGGUUUCGUCGCAUCACUGUUCCGCCCCCCAGCGGAAUCGGGCGGCUCACGCGAGUGAGCUGAGAUAAAUGAUCAUCCGCUCGAGCAAUCGAGCGACAGAAUUCGGCUUAUCGCCAUCGCAACGGA
rnacentral:RNase_P_RNA from 1 species